GAUGAAGAACGCAGUGAAAUGCGAUAAGUAAUGUGAAUUGCAGAAUUCAGUGAAUCAUCGAAUCUUUGAACGCACAUUGCGCCCGCCAGUAUUCUGGCGGGCAUGCCUGUUCGAGCGUCAUUUCAACCAUCAAGCCCCAGGCUUGUGUUGGGGACCUGCGGCUGCCGCAGGCCCUGAAAACCAGUGGCGGGCUCGCUGUCACACCGGGCGUAGUAGAUUUUAUCUCGCUCUGGGCGUGCUGCGGGUUCCGGCCGUUAAAAAACCCUUUUAACCCAAGGUUGACCUCGGAUCAGGUAGGAAUACCCGCUGAACUUAAGCAUAUCAAUAACGGAGGA
rnacentral:misc_RNA from 1 species